GAAAGUGAUCACGCUAUUCAGGAGUAAGACUUGGGGGGAAUUUGGAAAAGAAAAGAAAGAAUCGAGAAGAGGCGCGACCGGCGCUCUUGAGGUCGCCUAAUUUCUGCAAGAGAGGCGUCUGGGAGGAUUUCGCACCGGGUGUUCGGAACAAGUUCACGGACCGUGGUGCUCGCCCAUCAUGGAUGUUCCAGGUCCGCUGGUGCCUUUCUUCUGAGGACGACCCCGGCCUUGACCAUCGGCGCAGGGGACCGAGGCCAGAGGAGGCUACUCACGGCCCCGCGCGUUCCCGCGCGCCCUCCCGCCCUCGCCGCGCCCCCG